UUGCUGAUAAUAUUCGGAAAUGAAAUAGUCCAUUUUUAACAUCCAUGUUCUAAUGCACUUAGUUUUAUUGUUUUCUGUAGAAGAACUAUUCCUGUUUGUUUGCCGAUGCUUCUUUUAAAACGUAGUAUUUCUUUUACUUAUUUCUUAGUUGACCUUGGGAAAUAAAUAAUGACAUCGUAAAUGUGUUGCGUGAUGUUGUCAACGUUUUAUUUUAUCUAAUGGCAGUUCUUAGAAGUUUAAACUUAGUGCAUUUAGAUUUCAAAUUACAAAUGCUGAUAAUAGAGUAAAAAAAUAAACCCUUUAUAUGUGUGUACAUUAAAAAUAAGAAUUUAAAAAUAAAAACACUGUAGCUCCUACUCUUUUGGUUAGUAUAAAAUGACUAAGGAGACAUAUAUUAAAAAGGAGAUGUUGUAUGAUUGCCAAUGAGACAACUCUCCACAAGAAACCAAAUGACACAGAAAUUACAAACUAUAGAUCACCGUACAGCCUUUAACAAUUAGCAAAGGCCCUAUUGAAAUGUCUGCCUUCAAAUUUUUGAAGGUUGUAUCAUUCUGACUUAACCUUGAGGGUCCUGGAAGGUCGUUUGUAAAAACAGAAAGUAGAAUGGAUGGUCCAUACCGCAAAGUCAACAAUAAAGGGCCCUAACAUUACAAUGUAAAACAAUUCAAACGAGAAACAUGUUUUUGUCAAACAACCACUAAACCAUUUAUAUUCUGUAAGUUAUUCUUUGUCAUCAAUUGGUAGUGCUCUGCAGUGGUAAACAAUUCACGUAGCACAAACAUUUCCACAUGUGGUUAUAAGACCAUCUAUUACAACAACUAUAUUACGACAAAAAGUAUUCGAUAGAACUUGUUAUGUCUUCU
rnacentral:lncRNA from 1 species